GUUCCUGAAUGUGAAGACAGGUUUUUUUUUUCACAGAGCCGAAGGAAAACACUUUACCGAACUCAUUGAUAGAUGGGAUGGCCCUAUUUCAACAUAUGCACACUGAAAGACACUAUUGUGAAGGUGUUCUGCUUGUGAAUUGUUACAGAAGUACAGAUCAUCUUAAUGUUAAAUUGUUUUAGUAAGAAACUGUACUGUGAAUGUUCUAAGUAAAACUUGAGAUGCUGAGGUCAUGCAUUCUUUUAUGCACUAAAUACUGAUGUUCUUGACUGUUAAUACUGUCCAGCUUAUUGACACGGUUUGGAUAUGGCUUGUGAAAAUGUUUUAAUAAUAUGUAUACGGUUAAAAAAAGAAAACUGUACUGUGAAGGUGUUCUACGCAGCACUUUAAAAAGUUGAGGUCAUGCAUUCUAUGCACUAAAUAUGGAUGUUGACUGUUCAUACUGUCCAGCUCAUUGCCACUGUUUUGAUAUGGUAAUGAUUUAAUAAAGGUUGGAAUUUGA